rnacentral:rRNA from 1 species
AAAUUGAAGAGUUUGAUCAUGGCUCAGAUUGAACGCUGGCGGCAGGCCUAACACAUGCAAGUCGAACGGUAACAGGAAGCAGCUUGCUGCUUCGCUGACAAGUGGCGGACGGGUGAGUAAUGUCUGGGAAACUGCCUGAUGGAGGGGGAUAACUACUGGAAACGGUGGCUAAUACCGCAUGACGUCGCAAGACCAAAGAGGGGGACCUUCGGGCCUCUUGCCAUCAGAUGUGCCCAGAUGGGAU